GUUGGUUCAGUUGGUAGAGUAUGUGACUCUUAAUCUCAGUGUUGUGAGUUCAAGUCUUACAC
rnacentral:tRNA from 1 species